rnacentral:rRNA from 1 species
GACGAACGCUGGCGGCGUGCUUAACACAUGCAAGUCGAGCGGAAAGGCCACUUCGGUGGUACUCGAGCGGCGAACGGGUGAGUAACACGUGAGUAAUCUGCCCCUGGCUUUGGGAUAGCCACCGGAAACGGUGAUUAAUACCGGAUACGACCACUUCUCGCAUGGGAUGGUGGUGGAAAGUUUUUUCGGCCAGGGAUGUGCUCGCGGCCUAUCAGCUUGAUGGUGAGGUAAUGGCUCACCAUGGCUUCGACGGGUAGCCGGCCUGAGAGGGUGGCCGGUCACACUGGGACUGAGACACGGCCCAGACUCCUACGGGAGGCAGCAGUGGGGAAUAUUGGACAAUGGGGGGAAGCCUGAUCCAGCAACGCCGCGUGAGGGAUGACGGCCUUCGGGUUGUAAACCUCUUUCAGCAGGGACGAAGCGCAAGUGACGGUACCUGCAGAAGAAGCACCGGCCAACUACGUGCCAGCAGCCGCCGUAA